GGGUGGUGGAAAGUUUUUUCGGUCCAGGAUGUGCUCGCGGCCUAUCAGCUUGUUGGUGAGGUAAUGGCUCACCAAGGCUUUGACGGGUAACCGGCCUGAGAGGGUGACCGGUCACACUGGGACUGAGACACGGCCCAGACUCCUACGGGAGGCAGCAGUGGGGAAUAUUGGACAAUGGGCGGAAGCCUGAUCCAGCAACGCCGCGUGAGGGAUGACGGCCUUCGGGUUGUAAACCUCUUUCAGUACCGACGAAGCGAAAGUGACGGUAGGUACAGAAGAAGGACCGGCCAACUACGUGCCAGCAGCCGCGGUAAUACGUAGGGUCCGAGCGUUGUCCGGAAUUAUUGGGCGUAAAGGGCUCGUAGGCGGUUUGUCGCGUCGGGAGUGAAAACAGCGGGCUUAACUCGUUGCUUGCUUUCGAUACGGGCAGACUAGAGGUAUGCAGGGGAGAAUGGAAUUCCUGGUGUAGCGGUGAAAUGCGCAGAUAUCAGGAGGAACACCGGUGGCGAAGGCGGUUCUCUGGGCAUUACCUGACGC
rnacentral:rRNA from 1 species